GACGUAGGGGGCGAGCGUUGUCCGGAUUUAUUGGGCGUAAAGCGCGCGUAGGCGGUUCGUUAAGUCGGAUGUGAAAAUCCGGGGCUCAACCCCGGACCUGCAUCCGAUACUGGCGGACUGGAGGCAGGCAGGGGAGAUCGGAAUUCCUGGUGUAGCGGUGAAAUGCGCAGAUAUCAGGAAGAACACCGAUGGCGAAGGCAGCUCUCUGGGACGGUACUGACGCUGAGACGCGAAAGCGUGGGGAGCGAACAGG
rnacentral:rRNA from 1 species